GCCGGGCGUGGUGGCACACGCCUGUAAUCCCAGCUACUUGGGAGGCUGAGGCAGGGGAAUCGCUUGAACCGGGGAGACGGAGGUUGCGGUGAGCCGAGAUUGUGCCAUUGCACUUCAGCCUGGGUAACAGAGUGAGACUCUGUCUCAA
rnacentral:SRP_RNA from 1 species